rnacentral:rRNA from 1 species
CUACGGGCUGCAGCAGUGAGGAAUAUUGCACAAUGGGGGGAACCCUGACGCAGCAACGCCGCGUGAAGGAUGAAGGCCUUUGGGUCGUAAACUUCUGUCAGAGGGGAAGAAAUGCCCGCAAGGGAGCUGACGGUACCCUCAAAGGAAGCACCGGCUAACUCCGUGCCAGCAGCCGCGGUAAUACGGAGGGUGCAAGCGUUGUUCGGAAUUAUUGGGCGUAAAGAGCAUGUAGGCGGACUGUUAAGUCUGGUGUGAAAGCCCGGGGCUCAACCCCGGAAGUGCAUUGGAUACUGGCAGUCUUGAGUAUGGGAGAGGAAAGUGGAAUUCCGAGUGUAGGAGUGAAAUCCGUAGAUAUUCGGAGGAACACCAGUGGCGAAGGCGGCUUUCUGGACCAAUACUGACGCUGAGAUGCGAAAGCGUGGGGAGCAAACAGGAUUAGAUACCCCCGUAGUC